UAGGGAAUCUUCGGCAAUGGACGGAAGUCUGACCGAGCAACGCCGCGUGAGUGAAGAAGGUUUUCGGAUCGUAAAGCUCUGUUGUAAGAGAAGAACGAGUGUGAGAGUGGAAAGUUCACACUGCGACGGUAUCUUACCAGAAAGGGACGGCUAACUACGUGCCAGCAGCCGCGGUAAUACGUAGGUCCCGAGCGUUGUCCGGAUUUAUUGGGCGUAAAGCGAGCGCAGGCGGUUAGAUAAGUCUGAAGUUAAAGGCUGUGGCUUAACCAUAGUAGGCUUUGGAAACUGUUUAACUUGAGUGCAAGAGGGGAGAGUGGAAUUCCAUGUGUAGCGGUGAAAUGCGUAGAUAUAUGGAGGAACACCGGUGGCGAAAGCGGCUCUCUGGCUUGUAACUGACGCUGAGGCUCGAAAGCGUGGGGAGCAAACAGGAUUAGAUACCCUGGUAGUCCACGCUGUAAACGAUGAGUGCUAGGUGUUAGACCCUUUCCGGGGUUUAGUGCCGUAGCUAACGCAUUAAGCACUCCGCCUGGGGAGUACGACCGCAAGGUUG
rnacentral:rRNA from 1 species